UUUAUUAAAAUUUACUUUUAAUAAUAUCUUAAUCCAACAUCGAGGUCGCAAUUAUUUUUUUUUAAUUUGAACUUAAAAAAAUAAUAACGCUGUUAUCCCUAAAGUAACUUUAUAUUAUAUAAUUAUUAAUUAUUUAAAAAUUACAAAAAUUAAUGUUUAUUUUAAAAAAAGUUUAUUAAAUUUUUUUAUCACCCCAAUUAAAUAUUUAAAUUAUUAAUUUUAAUUUAAAAAUUUAUAAAAUUUAAUAAAUAUUAAAAUUAAAAUAUUAAGCUUUAUAGGGUCUUUUCGUCUUUUAAAUUAAAUUAAUUUUUUUAAAUUAAAAAUUAAAUUAUAUAUUAUUUAAUUUUAUAAAGUUUAAAUUUCAUAAAAUCAUUCAUUCAAGACUCCAAUAAAAAGACUAUUUAUUAUGCUACCUUUGUACAAUUAAAUUAUUGCAGCUCUUUAAAUUAAAUUCAGUGAGCAGAUUAGACUUUAAAUUAAAUCAAAAAGACAUGGUUUU
rnacentral:rRNA from 1 species